rnacentral:rRNA from 1 species
UGAGCGACCUACCUAAUUGUGGGGGAUAGCCGGCCCAACGGCCGGGUAAUACCGCAUACGAUCGGAGAGGGGCAUCCCUUUCUGAGGAAAGCCUUCGGGCGCAAUUCGAGGGGCUCGCGGCCUAUCAGCUAGUUGGCGGGGUAACGGCCCACCAAGGCGACGACGGGUAGCUGGUCUGAGAGGAUGGCCAGCCACAUUGGGACUGAGAUACGGCCCAGACUCCGUACGGGAGGCAG